rfam:Pteropus alecto contig60756, whole genome shotgun sequence.
CACUACGGCCAUGCCACCCUGAACAAUCCCGAUCCCAUCUGAUCUCGGAAGCUAAGCAGGAUCAGGCCUGGUUAGUACUUGGAUGGGAGACCACCUAGGAAGACGAGGUGCUGUAGGUG